UGUUCGUGAUUCAUUCAUAACAGUAUCUUUUUCAGGAAUUUGGGUUUUUCAUCAUGUAAUUUUCAAGUUUUCAUCUCAUUUCAUGCAUGCUUAUUCUGCCAGCCUUGUAGUUUAGAUGGUGAGAAAGUAUUUUGCUCUUGGUAACUUCAGACUUCUUGGUUAUCAAGAAGUGUCACUUCGGAUUUUUUGCUAUACUUCGGUGUCUGGUCAAUUUCAAUUCCGUCAUUUUUCCCGGUCGUACUUAAUCAAAGAUUUUCAUUAAUGAAAUCCCUCUCCAAGGAUUGGUCCUCAGCUUAUCCAUUAAUGGCAGCAAUCUACUUGAUGUGAUAGGAAGCAGGCAAUGAGGGCCAUGGCAGGACUGCGAAGAGUUAUCACUAUGUUGAAAUGUGCGCACUGUCAUAGUGUGUUUAUAAAAAUCCCAGAGGGAAAUCCACCGAGCACUAAUAAGAUGGAUAUAUAUUGCAGCAGGUGCUCCUUACUCAACGUGAUGCUCCAGGAUCAUUGAGGUGUUUUUGAAGGCUCUGCAACCAGUUUGAAAGUGGAGUGGCCCUCUAUUUUUCUAAUUUGGUUCGUUUUUCGAUGAGGCUUUGAAAUUUCAGAAGAGCUGUCAGUGUUCAGGCAUUGAAUGAGAGGAGUG